rnacentral:rRNA from 1 species
GUGGGGAAUCUUCCGCAAUGGACGAAAGUCUGACGGAGCAACGCCGCGUGAGUGAUGAAGGUCUUCGGAUUGUAAAGCUCUGUUAAUCGGGACGAAAGAGCCUAGUGUGAAUAAUGCUAGGAAGUGACGGUACCGGAAUAGAAAGCCACGGCUAACUACGUGCCAGCAGCCGCGGUAAUACGUAGGUGGCAAGUGUUGUCCGGAAUUAUUGGGCGUAAAGCGCGCGCAGGCGGAUCUGCCAGUCUGUCUUAAAAGUUCGGGGCUUAACCCCGUGAUGGGAUGGAAACUACAGAUCUAGAGUAUCGGAGAGGAAAGUGGAAUUCCUAGUGUAGCGGUGAAAUGCGUAGAUAUUAGGAAGAACACCAGUGGCGAAGGCGACUUUCUGGACGAAAACUGACGCUGAGGCGCGAAAGCCAGGGGAGCGAACGGGAUUAGAAACCCGAGUAGUCC